rnacentral:rRNA from 1 species
UACGUAGGGUGCAAGCGUUAAUCGGAAUUACUGGGCGUAAAGCGUACGCAGGCGGCUUUGCAAGACAGGUGUGAAAUCCCCGGGCCUAACCUGGGAACUGCAUUUGUGACUGCAUAGCUAGAGUUUGUCAGAGGGGGGUGGAAUUCCACGUGUAGCAGUGAAAUGCGUAGAUAUGUGGAGGAACACCGAUGGCGAAGGCAGCCCCCUGGGAUGAGACUGACGCUCAUGUACGAAAGCGUGGGGAGCAAACAGG